CCGUACGUAGAAGAGGGAUAGUAG
rnacentral:piRNA from 1 species